UACUCCUACGGGAGGCAGCAGUGGGGAAUCUUGCACAAUGGGGGAAACCCUGAUGCAGCCAUGCCGCGUGUGUGAAGAAGGCCUUCGGGUUGUAAAGCACUUUCGGUAGUGAGGAAAGGUAUUGUGUUAAUAGCACAAUGCUGUGACGUUAGCUACAGAAGAAGGACCGGCAAACUCCGUGCCAGCAGCCGCGGUAAU
rnacentral:rRNA from 1 species